GAAACGCGAAAGGUAAUGCGAAUUGCAGAAUCAGUGAGUCAUCGAAUCUUUGAACGCACAUUGCGCCUCUCGGUAUUCCGGGAGGCACGCCUGUUCGAGCGCCAUUACACACUCCAAGCGUAGCUUGAUGUUGGACGAUGCGGGUCUCCUAGAGGACCGCACGUCUGGAACGCGUGGGCGCCCAUCGCCGGAUCACAAGCGUAGCAAGACGUUUCGUCAAUUUCGUUCUGUGAGCUCCGACGGGGGGCGGCCUCAUACUUUUUCUGUAUCAGAAGUUUGGCCUCGGAUCAGGCGGGGAUACCCGCUGAACUUAA
rnacentral:misc_RNA from 1 species